rnacentral:misc_RNA from 1 species
CAGAAUUGUUAUGAAAUUCAAGCCAAGCGGUGUUCUUAUAGAAGCAAGCCCCUUGCCACUGAAUAGCGUUCUCAGGAGAGGAGACAGCUCCGACGAAAGUCGGAAGGAGAUCAGCGGCGUUGUUGAGAUAGUUAAGAAUCGGCCAUGAAACCUGUCUGGGUAGCAGCGGAAGCACGUCGAUAGGGGAAAACGGUGAUUUCAGGGCCUGUGGUUGGGAUGAG